UAGUAGAUAGCCGUGUCAUCGGCGAAGAG
rnacentral:sRNA from 1 species